GACGAACGCUGGCGGCGUGCUUAACACAUGCAAGUCGAACGGAAAGGCCCUGCUUUUGUGGGGUGCUCGAGUGGCGAACGGGUGAGUAACACGUGAGUAACCUGCCAUUGACUUUGGGAUAACUUCAGGAAACUGGGGCUAAUACCGGAUAGGAGCUCCUGCUGCUUGGUGGGGGUUGGAAAGUUUCGGCGGUUGGGGAUGGACUCGCGGCUCAUCAGCUUGUUGGUGGGGUAGUGGCUUACCAAGGCUUUGCCGGGUAGCCGGCCUGAGAGGGUGACCGGCCACACUGGGACGGGGAUGCGGCCCAGACUCCUACGGGAGGCAGCAGUGGGGUAUAGUGCACUAGGGGCGGAGGCCUAGUGCAGCAACGCCGCGUGGGGUAUGACGGCCAGCGGUUUGUGAACCGCUUUCGCCUGUGACGAGGCGUUAGUGACGGUAAUGGGUGAAGAAGCACCGGCUAACUACGUG
rnacentral:rRNA from 1 species